rnacentral:misc_RNA from 1 species
UACGGAGGGGACUAGCGUUGUUCGGAAUUAUUGGGCGUAAAGCGAACGUAGGCGGCCGUUUAAGUCUCACUGUGAAAGCCUGCGGCUCAACCGCAGGAGGCCAGGGGAUACUGGACGGCUGGAGAUAGGUAGAGGCGAGCGGAAUUCCGGGUGUAGCGGUGGAAUGCGUAGAGAUCCGGAAGAACACCAGAGGCGAAGGCGGCUCGCUGGACCUCCUCUGACGCUGAGGUGCGAAAGCGUGGGGAGCGAACAGG